rnacentral:ribozyme from 1 species
UUUCCACCAACUCCUAUCCCUACCUCCUCAUGGUACUGGCCGAGGUACGAGAAUCCUUAGUGAAGUUCGGGUAACCAACCCCGGUAGGAACUUUGGUCGUAUGCUGACAGGGAAAAGG